UAGCUCCAUGGGGCUAUCACAUAGGUUAGUCUGGAUUAUGAGAUAUUGUGCGUUGCAUUCAGGAAGCUUCAUGUCGAGUGAAAGUGCAACAAGGCUGCAUGUUAUUAUUAUUAAUUGUGUUUGAACGUGUGAAAGCUCUUGUUAAAGGAAGCAGUUCCAGACUUCAGCCAGCAGGUGGUGCUGCAGCCUCCCUACAGAGCACUCAGAGAGAGGUUGAGGUCAUGGUGACUCAUCAUCACUAUGCUAUUCUGAGAGAGAUGCCCUCUCCGGCUGCAUCAGGAGGCUGUAACCGAACCUCUGGCAAGAUUAAGGAGAAAAGACCAGCAGGCUUCAUGAUGUCAGCAGAGGGCCAUGAGCUCUGCACGUCAUGGCUUUAUUAGAGCCUGAUGUAAUCAAGGCCUGCUUGAUCAGUCGCAAAAUAAAGGAUGUGACAAAUCAUGACAAAA